rnacentral:rRNA from 1 species
UGGGGAAUAUUGGACAAUGGGCGCAAGCCUGAUCCAGCAAUGCCGCGUGAGUGAUGAAGGCCUUAGGGUUGUAAAGCUCUUUCGCACGCGACGAUGAUGACGGUAGCGUGAGAAGAAGCCCCGGCUAACUUCGUGCCAGCAGCCGCGGUAAUACGAAGGGGGUCUAGCGUUGUUCGGAAUUACUGGGCGUAAAGGGCGCGUAGGCGGCCUGUUUAGUCAGAAGUGAAAGCCCCGGGCUCAACCUGGGAAUAGCUUUUGAUACUGGCAGGCUUGAGUUCCGGAGAGGAUGGUGGAAUUCCCAGUGUAGAGGUGAAAUUCGUAGAUAUUGGGAAGAACACCGGUGGCGAAGGCGGCCAUCUGGACGGACACUGACGCUGAGG